rnacentral:rRNA from 1 species
UGGGGAAUAUUGCACAAUGGGCGCAAGCCUGAUGCAGCCAUGCCGCGUGUGUGAAGAAGGCCUUCGGGUUGUAAAGCACUUUCAGCGAGGAGGAAGGUGGUGAGCUUAAUACGCUCAUCAAUUGACGUUACUCGCAGAAGAAGCACCGGCUAACUCCGUGCCAGCAGCCGCGGUAAUACGGAGGGUGCAAGCGUUAAUCGGAAUUACUGGGCGUAAAGCGCACGCAGGCGGUUUGUUAAGUCAGAUGUGAAAUCCCCGGGCUCAACCUGGGAACUGCAUUUGAAACUGGCAAGCUAGAGUCUCGUAGAGGGGGGUAGAAUUCCAGGUGUAGCGGUGAAAUGCGUAGAGAUCUGGAGGAAUACCGGUGGCGAAGGCGGCCCCCCUGGACGAAGACUGACGCUCAGGUGCGAAAGCGUGGGGCAGCAAACAGGAUUAGAUACCCUGGUAGUCCAGCGCUGUAAACGAUGUCGAUUUUGGAGGUUGUGCCCUUGAGGCGUGGCUUCCGGAGCUAACGCGUUAAAUCGACCGCCUGGGGAGUACGGCCGCAAGGUUAAAACUUAAAUGAAUUGAC